AGUACAAUUGUUGGAUCACAUGGUAAGAGUAUGUUUAGUUUUGUAAGAAACUGCCAAACUGUCUUUCAAAGUAGCUGUACCAUUUUGCAUUCCCAUCAGUAAU
rnacentral:pre_miRNA from 1 species